rnacentral:rRNA from 1 species
UAUGGUUGUGUGCCAGCAGCCGCGGUAAUACGGAGGAUGCGAGCGUUAUCCGGAUUUAUUGGGUUUAAAGGGAGCGCAGACGGGAGAUUAAGUCAGUUGUGAAAGUUUGCGGCUCAACCGUAAAAUUGCAGUUGAUACUGGUUUCCUUGAGUGCAGUUGAGGCAGGCGGAAUUCGUGGUGUAGCGGUGAAAUGCUUAGAUAUCACGAAGAACCCCGAUUGCGAAGGCAGCUUGCUAAACUGUAACUGACGUUCAUGCUCGAAAGUGUGGGUAUCAAACAGG